UACGUAGGGGGCAAGCGUUGUCCGGAUUUAUUGGGCGUAAAGCGCGCGCAGGCGGUCUCUUAAGUCUGAUGUGAAAGCCCACGGCUCAACCGUGGAAGGUCAUUGGAAACUGGGAGACUUGAGUGUAGGAGAGGAAAGUGGAAUUCCACGUGUAGCGGUGAAAUGCGUAGAGAUGUGGAGGAACACCAGUGGCGAAGGCGACUUUCUGGCCUAUAACUGACGCUGAGGCGCGAAAGCGUGGGGAGCAAACAGG
rnacentral:rRNA from 1 species